GACCGCGUAGCUCAGUUGGCAGAGCAUUGGGCUGGUAUUCCAAAGGUCGUAGGUUCGAUUCCCACCGUGGCCC
rnacentral:tRNA from 1 species